rnacentral:rRNA from 1 species
UAGAGUUUGAUCCUGGCUCAGGACGAACGCUGGCGGCGUGCCUAACACAUGCAAGUCGAGCGAAGUAUAUUUAAGUGAAGUUUUCGGACGGAACUUAAAUAUAUCUUAGCGGCGGACGGGUGAGUAACGCGUGAGCAACCUGCCUUUCACAAAGGGAUAGCCUCGGGAAACUGGGAUUAAUACCAUAUGAUACUUAACUUUCGCAUGAAAGAUAAGUUAAAGCGAAAAAGCGGUGAAAGAUGGGCUCGCGUCCUAUUAGCUAGUUGGUGAGGUAACGGCUCACCAAGGCGACGAUAGGUAGCCGGCCUGAGAGGGUGAACGGCCACACUGGAACUGAGACACGGUCCAGACUCCUACGGGAGGCAGCAGUGGGGGAUAUUGCACAAUGGAGGAAACUCUGAUGCAGCGACGCCGCGUGAGUGAAGAAGGCCUUCGGGUCGUAAAGCUCUGUCCUAGGGGAAGAUAAUGACGGUACCCUAGGAGGAAGCCCCGGCUAACUACGUGCCAGCCGCCGC